UACGAGGGGGGCGAGCGUUGUUCGGAAUUAUUGGGCGUAAAGGGUGCGUAGGCGGCCUGACAAGUCUGAUGUGAAAUCCCCUGGGCUCAACCCAGGGCCUGCAUCGGAAACUGUCGGGCUUGAGUAUGGGAGAGGUGAGUGGAAUUUCCGGUGUAGCGGUGAAAUGCGUAGAUAUCGGAAGGAACACCUGUGGCGAAAGCGGCUCACUGGACCAUUACUGACGCUGAUGCACGAAAGCUAGGGGAGCAAACAGG
rnacentral:rRNA from 1 species